GACUGUGCUAAGGUAGCAAAAUCAUUAGAUUUUUAAUUGAGAUCUUGUUUGAAUGGUUAUAUGAAAUAAAUUCUUUAUUAUUUUAAAUAUUUAAUUUUAUAUUUUAGUUAAAAAGCUAAAAUAAAGUUAAGGGACGAGAAGACCCUAUAGAAUUUUAUAAAAAUUAAAUUAAUUAAUUAGAUUAUUAAUUAUAUUAAUUAUUUAAUUUAUAUUUUAUUGGGGUGAUAAUUAAAUUUAUUAAACUUUUAUAUAUUUAAUCAAUUAUAUUUGUUUUUGUGAUCUUUUUUUAUUGAUUAAAAAAUUAAAUUACCUUAGGGAUAACAGCAUAAUUUUAUUAAGAAGUUCUUAUUUUUAAUAAUGUUUAUGACCUCGAUGUUGAAUUAAAUAAAAUUUUUUUAUGAAGAUAUAAAAAAAAUAAGUCUGUUCGACUUUUAAUUAUUUACAUGAUUUGAGUUCAAACCGGUGUGAGCCAGGUCGGUUUCUAUCU
rnacentral:rRNA from 1 species